AUGGUGUCGAUCCAAUGCUCAUUAGUUUUAUGUUUGCGUAUAUGUAGUGAGCAAUCAUAUCUCAACGUGAUGAACGAGUCAGUCGGCAUAGAUAGCAUUUCACUGUCGACUCAGCUUGAGGUUGAUGAAGCUCCCAUUGGGGUUGCCCCACCAAACUCCGAGCUUGUCGACGACCACCAACAAAUUCCCAUUGGAGGAGCUGGAUUUGUGUUGAAGACGGCAGUCAAAGAGAUAAUAGCAAUAAAGAAAGAGUUGGAGGCAAAGAAAAAACAAGAGGAAGCAAGGUUGUUGGAGGUCAAGGCCACGUAG
rnacentral:rRNA from 1 species